ACGCUAGCUACAGGCUUAACACAUGCAAGUCGAGGGGAAACGGCAUUUAGUGCUUGCACCGAAUGGACGUCGACCGGCGCACGGGUGAGUAACGCGUAUCCAACCUACCCAUUACUGUGGGAUAACCUGCCGAAAGGCAGACUAAUACCGCAUAGUCUUCGAUGACGGCAUCAGAUUUGAAGUAAAGAUUUAUCGGUAAUGGAUGGGGAUGCGUCUGAUUAGCUUGUUGGCGGGGUAACGGCCCACCAAGGCAACGAUCAGUAGGGGUUCUGAGAGGAAGGUCCCCCACAUUGGAACUGAGACACGGUCCAAACUCCUACGGGAGGCAGCAGUGAGGAAUAUUGGUCAAUGGGCGCGAGCCUGAACCAGCCAAGUAGCGUGCAGGAUGACGGCCCUAUGGGUUGUAAACUGCUUUUGUAUGGGGAUAAAGUCAAUCACGUGUGAUUGUUUGCAGGUACCAUACGAAUAAGGACCGGCUAAUUCCGUGCCAGCAGCCGCGGUAAUACGGAAGGUCCGGGCGUUAUCCGGAUUUAUUGGGUUUAAAGGGAGCGUAGGCCGGAGAUUAAGUGUGUUGUGAAAUGUAGACGCUCAACGUCUGACUUGCAGCGCAUACUGGUUUCCUUGAGUACGCACAACGUUGGCGGAAUUCGUCGUGUAGCGGUGAAAUGCUUAGAUAUGACGAAGAACUCCGAUUGCGAAGGCAGCUGACGGGAGCGCAACUGACGCUGAAGCUCGAAGGUGCGGGUAUCGAACAGGAUUAGAUACCCUGGUAGUCCGCACAGUAAACGAUGGAUGCCCGCUGUUGGUACCUGGUAUCAGCGGCUAAGCGAAAGCAUUAAGCAUCCCACCUGGGGAGUACGCCGGCAACGGUGAAACUCAAAGGAAUUGACGGGGGCCCGCACAAGCGGAG
rnacentral:rRNA from 1 species